AUGUCUUGAUGAUUAUUUUAUAUCAGGUCUAGCCUGCUCAAUGAUUUUUAAUUAAAUAGCCGCAGUAUUUUGACUGUGCGAAGGUAGCAUAAUCAUUUGUCUUUUAAUUGAAGGCUUGUAUGAAUGGUUGGAUGAGGGAAUUACUUUAUUUAUAUCAAAGUUAUAAUUUAAUUUUUGAGUCAAAAAGCUUAAAUCUUAAAAUGGGACGAGAAGACCCUAUAGAAUUUUAUUGUUACAUUUAAUAUUAAUUUUUUGGGUGAUAUAUUAUUUAUUAUUAAGUGGACAAUUUUGUUGGGGUGAUGGAAAGAUAAAAUUAACUCUUUUAUUUAUUAAUUAUUAAUUUAUAUGGUAUUUUGAUCCCAAAUGUAGGAUAAAUAGAUUAAAUUACCUUAGGGAUAACAGCGUAAUUCUCUCGGAGAGUUCUUAUUGAUGAGGGAGUUUGCGACC
rnacentral:rRNA from 1 species